rnacentral:rRNA from 1 species
AGGCUUAACACAUGCAAGUCGAGCGCCCCGCAGGGGACCGGCAGACGGGUGAGUAACGCGUGGGAACGUACCCUUUACUACGGAAUAACGCAGGGAAACUUGUGCUAAUACCGUAUGUGCCCUUCGGGGGAUAGAUUUAUCGGUAAAGGAUCGGCCCGCGUUGGAUUAGCUAGUUGGUGGGGUAAAGGCCUACCAAGGCGACGAUCCAUAGCUGGUCUGAGAGGAUGAUCAGCCACAUUGGGACUGAGACACGGCCCAAACUCCUACGGGAGGCAGCAGUGGGGAAUAUUGGACAAUGGGCGCAAGCCUGAUCCAGCCAUGCCGCGUGAGUGAUGAAGGCCCUAGGGUUGUAAAGCUCUUUCACCGGAGAAGAUAAUGACGGUAUCCGGAGAAGAAGCCCCGGCUAACUUCGUGCCAGCAGCCGCGGUAAUACGAAGGGGGCUAGCGUUGUUCGGAAUUACUGGGCGUAAAGCGCACGUAGGCGGAUCGAUCAGUCAGGGGUGAAAUCCCAGGGCUCAACCCUGGAACUGCCUUUGAUACUGUCGAUCUGGAGUAUGGAAGAGGUGAGUGGAAUUCCGAGUGUAGAGGUGAAAUUCGUAGAUAUUCGGAGGAACACCAGUGGCGAAAGCGGCUCACUGGUCCAUUACUGACGCUGAUGUGCGAAAGCGUGGGGAGCAAACAGGAUUAGAUACCCUGGUAGUCCACGCCCGUAAACGAUGAAUGGUAACCG